rnacentral:rRNA from 1 species
AUGCCAGGAAUCCUGCAGAGAUGUGGGAGUGCUCGAAAGAGAGCCUGGACACAGGUGCUGCAUGGCUGUCGUCAGCUCGUGUCGUGAGAUGUUGGGUUAAGUCCCGCAACGAGCGCAACCCUUGUCAUUAGUUGCCAUCAUUCAGUUGGGCACUCUAAUGAGACUGCCGGUGACAAACCGGAGGAAGGUGGGGAUGACGUCAAGUCCUCAUGGCCCUUAUGGGUAGGGCUUCACACGUCAUACAAUGGUCGGUACAGAGGGUUGCCAAGCCGCGAGGUGGAGCCAAUCCCAGAAAGCCGAUCGUAGUCCGGAUCGGAGUCUGCAACUCGACUCCGUGAAGUCGGAAUCGCUAGUAAUCGUGGAUCAGCAUGCCACGGUGAAUACGUUCCCGGGUCUU